rnacentral:rRNA from 1 species
UUUAUACAACGAAGAGUUUGAUCCUGGCUCAGGAUGAACGCUAGCGGCAGGCCUAACACAUGCAAGUCGAACGGUAACAUGAGAGCUUGCUCUUGAUGACGAGUGGCGCACGGGUGCGUAACGCGUAUGCAAUCUACCUAUAACUGAGGAAUAGCCCAGAGAAAUUUGGAUUAAUACCUCAUAAUAAUAUUUUUUGGCAUCAUUAAAUAUUUAAAACUCCGGUGGUUAUAGAUGAGCAUGCGUUCUAUUAGUUUGUUGGUGAGGUAAAAGCUCACCAAGACUACGAUAGAUAGGGGGCCUGAAAGGGUGAUCCCCCACACUGGUACUGAGACACGGACCAGACUCCUACGGGAGGCAGCAGUGAGGAAUAUUGCACAAUGGAGGAAACUCUGAUGCAGCCAUGCCGCGUGCAGGACGAAUGCCCUAUGGGUUGUAAACUGCUUUUUUACAAGAAGAAACCUUGGUACGUGUACCAACUUGACGGUAUUGUAAGAAUAAGCACCGGCUAACUCCGUGCCAGCAGCCGCGGUAAUACGGAGGGUGCAAGCGUUAUCCGGAUUUAUUAGGUUUAAAGGGUUCGCAGGCGGAAUUUUAAGUCAGUGGUGAAAGCCUAUAGCUCAACUAUAGAAC